UACAACGAUUUAUUUUUAUUGUUAUGUCUAUAAAAAACUUUCUCUUGGCCCAAUUAUCAUAUUCAAUAUUGGUUUUCAAUAGAAAACUAUAAUUAGUUCGUACGAUAAAAAUACUAUUUUCUUUUCCUUAUAGUUUUAUUAAUAACGGGGAAAAACGGGAAUAAUAAUGGCUUCUGUUAAUUUUGAUUUUGUUGUUUUGAAAUUCAGUGGAAAACAGUCUUAAAAAAUUUCGU